rnacentral:rRNA from 1 species
GACGAACGCUGGCGGCAUGCCUAACACAUGCAAGUCGAGCGAGCUGAUCCCUUCGGGGUGAAGCUAGCGGCGGACGGGUGAGUAACACGUGGGCAACCUGCCUCAUAGAGGGGAAUAGCCUCCCGAAAGGGAGAUUAAUACCGCAUAAGAUUGUAGCUUCGCAUGAAGUAGCAAUUAAAGGAGCAAUCCGCUAUGAGAUGGGCCCGCGGUGCAUUAGCUAGUUGGUGAGGUAACGGCUCACCAAGGCGACGAUGCGUAGCCGACCUGAGAGGGUGAUCGGCCACAUUGGGACUGAGACACGGCCCAGACUCCUACGGGAGGCAGCAGUGGGGAAUAUUGCACAAUGGGGAAACCCUGAUGCAGCAAUGCCGCGUGAGUGAUGACGGCCUUCGGGUUGUAAAGCUCUGUCUUCAGGGACGAUAAUGACGGUACCUGAGGAGGAAGCCACGGCUAACUACGUGCCAGCAGCCGCAGUAA